rnacentral:rRNA from 1 species
UACGUAGGGAGCAAGCGUUGUUCGGAUUUACUGGGCGUAAAGGGCGCGUAGGCGGCAAAUUAAGUCAGCUGUGAGAUCUCCGAGCUUAACUCGGAACUGUCAGCUGAUACUGAUCUGCUAGAGUGCGGAAGGGGCAAUCGGAAUUCUUGGUGUAGCGGUGAAAUGCGUAGAUAUCAAGAGGAACACCUGAGGUGAAGACGGGUUGCUGGGCCGACACUGACGCUGAGUGCGCGAAAGCCAGGGGAGCAAACGGG